rnacentral:rRNA from 1 species
UACGAAGGGGGCUAGCGUUGUUCGGAAUUACUGGGCGUAAAGCGCACGUAGGCGGGUCGUUAAGUCAGGGGUGAAAUCCCAGAGCUCAACUCUGGAACUGCCUUUGAUACUGGCGACCUUGAGGCCGGAAGAGGUUAGUGGAAUUCCCAGUGUAGAGGUGAAAUUCGUAGAUAUUGGGAAGAACACCAGUGGCGAAGGCGGCUAACUGGUCCGGAUCUGACGCUGAGGUGUGAAAGCGUGGGGAGCAAACAGG